AUGCAAGAUUUAAAACCCAUUGCUUACUUUAGCGAAAAACUCAAAGAAGCAACUCUAAACUACUCCACGUAUGAUUUAAAGUUGUAUGGCUUGAUUAGAGCCUUGGCCACUUGGCAACACUUUUUGUGGCCUAAGGAAUUUGUGAUCUGAACGGACCAUGAAUCCUUGAAACACUUACGGGCACAAGACAAGAUUAACAAACGGCACGCCAAAUGGAUUGAGUUUAUAGAAACCUUCCCUUAUGUUAUUCAAUACAAGAAGGGGAAGAACAAUGUGGUUGUCGAUGCCUUGUCUAGAAAACAUGUAAUUAUGUCCACUUUGUCUUCAAAGUUAAUGGGUUUUGAGAGCCUAAAGGCAUUAUAUCCCGAGGACCCUCACUUUGCUCCUAUCUUUAGGGAAUGUGAAGAAUUGGAUAGGAAUAAGUGGGUUUCGGAUAGGGGUUCAAAUCCCUAUGCCAAGUUCGAUGGUUACUUGUUUAAAAGUAGAUGAUUAUGUGUACCUUCUAGAUCUUUGAGAGAGUUGUUUGUGAGGGAAGCACACGAUGGCGGUCUAAUGGGUCAUUUUGGGAUUGACAAGACCCUUGGGAUAUUAGAGGAGGAAUUCUAUUGGCCUAGAAUGCACAAGGAUGUGGCUAGGAUUUGUGGCCAAUGUAUAGAUUUCAAGAGAGCCAAGUCUCGGCUCCUCCCUCACGGGUUGUAUACCCCAGUUUCCACUCUUUUACGUCCUUGGCUUGAUAUAUCUAUGGAUUUUGUAUUAGGAUUGCCGAGGACUAGAGGAGGUAGGGAUAGCAUUUUUGUUGUGGUUGAUCGGUUUUCUAAGAUGGCACACUUCAUUCCUUGUUCAAAAAGUGAAGUUGCAUCACGUGUAGCUUCUUUAUUUGUAAAAAAUAUUGUCAAAUUACAUGGUGUUUCGAGGACCAUUGUAAGUGAUAAGGACUCUAAGUUCCUUAGUUACUUUUGGAAGUCAAUGUGGGGUAGGCUUGGCACUAAAUUGCUAUUCUCUACAUCUUGUCACCCACAAACUGAUGGCCAAACUGAGGCCAUAAUUGUGAGUCCAACCGGCUGGGCGAAUGCUGCAACAAUUGAUUCUGUGUAUGAUUUGCUUCAUAUGAUGGGUCGUGAUGACAUUCCCGUGGGCCUUGGAGAAGUGUCUGCAAUGAACCAGUCUGAUCCUGUUUUCUCUGCAGUUGGUGAUUGCAAGUACAAUAAGGUAAUUCCACAAGGCAGCGGUGGAUUUCUCGACUCAGACACUCUUUAUGGAUUAUCUCGUUCUUUGCCUCGAAGUCCUCGCAGAUAUACAGCUGAAAAUUCUGUGAAAUUUGGAGCUCCUAGAGACACUGAUCAUCCUGAACUCAGACAACCUCUGGCACUAGAAGUAUGGGAUUCAGUAGUGAAAUCACUUGAUCCAGGAUCCAAGGUUACCAUUUUAACCAAUGGCCCAUUGACCAACAUAGCCAAGAUUGUUCUCGCGGACAAGAAUAUGACCAACGUUAUCAAGGAUAUAGUAGUCGUUGGAGGGCACAUCAAUCAUGACAAAACUGAUAAGGGAAAUGUGAUCAAUGUUCCUUCAAAUAAAUUUGCCGAACUGAACAUGUUUCUUGACCCUCUGGCAGCAAAGACAGUUUUGAGUUCAGAACUCAAUAUCACUCUCAUUCCACUUGGUGCACAGCGGAAAGUCAGUGCAUUUCCUACGAUUCUUAAAAGACUUCACAUAACGAAGCAGACACCGGAAGCAAUCUUUGCAAAACGUUUACUGUCAAGGCUACGCUCCCUGAAAAAGACACAUCCUAGAUACAAGCAUAUGGACAUAUUUCUUGGAGAGAUCCUUGGAGCAGUAAUUUUGGGUGGUGAAAGUUCUGUACUAAAUUCAACUUUUGAGGUCAAGAACAUCAAAGUCAAUGCCACAGGGUAUGAAUCUGUAGAUGGACAGAUAAUUAUUGACGAAAAGCAAGGCAAAUCAGUGAAAGUAUUGGAGAAUGUGGAUCCAUUAGCAUAUUACAAUGUUUUUGCAAAUAGAGUAAAUGAUGGAAAGCAGUCAGCUGUAGUUGGAAGCUUUGAUGAGCAGAGAAGACUUUGGAGCACACCAUCUAAUAGACAGUGGCGGACCCAAGAUUUAAGGAUAGUGGGUGCUUUUAUAUGUUUUAUAUCUAUUUUUAUAUAUUUUUUAUAUAAUUAUACCUAGUUCGCGUCUAGUUUAGUGGGUGCCGGAGCACCCCAAAAUCCUACAAGGUCCGCCCCUGCUAAUAGAUAUUAAACUGCCCAUUCAUUGUCAUUUAUCGGAUAGCAGCAUCACAGCUCAUCACCAACCACCGGAAACAACUGAAAAAUCCAACCACCGGAAACAACUGAAAAAUCCACUUCUAUCAUAAUGUAUUCGUUUAAAGAGUUUUAUUUAGGGGAGAUUUUCUCCCACUAAAUUUUAUGUUUUUCAAUAUUAGUUUUUUCAUAUGUAGGUCGUUUUGAUCAAACAUAUCAAUAAUAUGCCUUUUUAGCA